rnacentral:rRNA from 1 species
GGGUUGUGAGGUUAAGCGACUAAGCGUACACGGUGGAUGCCCUGGCAGUCAGAGGCGAUGAAGGACGUGCUAAUCUGCGAUAAGCGUCGGUAAGGUGAUAUGAACCGUUAUAACCGGCGAUUUCCGAAUGGGGAAACCCAGUGUGAUUCGUCACACUAUCAUUAACUGAAUCCAUAGGUUAAUGAGGCGAACCGGGGGAACUGAAACAUCUAAGUACCCCGAGGAAAAGAAAUCAACCGAGAUUCCCCCAGUAGCGGCGAGCGAACGGGGAGGAGCCCAGAGCCUGAAUCAGUGUGUGUGUUAGUGGAAGCGUCUGGAAAGGCGCGCGAUACAGGGUGACAGCCCCGUACACAAAAAUGCACAUGCUGUGAGCUCGAUGAGUAGGGCGGGACACGUGGUAUCCUGUCUGAAUAUGGGGGGACCAUCCUCCAAGGCUAAAUACUCCUGACUGACCGAUAGUGAACCAGUACCGUGAGGGAAAGGCGAAAAGAACCCCGGCGAGGGGAGUGAAAAAGAACCUGAAACCGUGUACGUACAAGCAGUGGGAGCACGCUUAGGCGUGUGACUGCGUACCUUUUGUAUAAUGGGUCAGCGACUUAUAUUCUGUAGCAAGGUUAACCGAAUAGGGGAGCCGAAGGGAAACCGAGUCUUAACUGGGCGUUAAGUUGCAGGGUAUAGACCCGAAACCCGGUGAUCUAGCCAUGGGCAGGUUGAAGGUUGGGUAACACUAACUGGAGGACCGAACCGACUAAUGUUGAAAAAUUAGCGGAUGACUUGUGGCUGGGGGUGAAAGGCCAAUCAAACCGGGAGAUAGCUGGUUCUCCCCGAAAGCUAUUUAGGUAGCGCCUCGUGAAUUCAUCUCCGGGGGUAGAGCACUGUUUCGGCAAGGGGGUCAUCCCGACUUACCAACCCGAUGCAAACUGCGAAUACCGGAGAAUGUUAUCACGGGAGACACACGGCGGGUGCUAACGUCCGUCGUGAAGAGGGAAACAACCCAGACCGCCAGCUAAGGUCCCAAAGUCAUGGUUAAGUGGGAAACGAUGUGGGAAGGCCCAGACAGCCAGGAUGUUGGCUUAGAAGCAGCCAUCAUUUAAAGAAAGCGUAAUAGCUCACUGGUCGAGUCGGCCUGCGCGGAAGAUGUAACGGGGCUAAACCAUGCACCGAAGCUGCGGCAGCGACGCUGAUGCGUUGUUGGGUAGGGGAGCGUUCUGUAAGCCUGCGAAGGUGUGCUGUGAGGCAUGCUGGAGGUAUCAGAAGUGCGAAUGCUGACAUAAGUAACGAUAAAGCGGGUGAAAAGCCCGCUCGCCGGAAGACCAAGGGUUCCUGUCCAACGUUAAUCGGGGCAGGGUGAGUCGACCCCUAAGGCGAGGCCGAAAGGCGUAGUCGAUGGGAAACAGGUUAAUAUUCCUGUACUUGGUGUUACUGCGAAGGGGGGACGGAGAAGGCUAUGUUGGCCGGGCGACGGUUGUCCCGGUUUAAGCGUGUAGGCUGGUUUUCCAGGCAAAUCCGGAAAAUCAAGGCUGAGGCGUGAUGACGAGGCACUACGGUGCUGAAGCAACAAAUGCCCUGCUUCCAGGAAAAGCCUCUAAGCAUCAGGUAACAUCAAAUCGUACCCCAAACCGACACAGGUGGUCAGGUAGAGAAUACCAAGGCGCUUGAGAGAACUCGGGUGAAGGAACUAGGCAAAAUGGUGCCGUAACUUCGGGAGAAGGCACGCUGAUAUGUAGGUGAAGCGACUUGCUCGUGGAGCUGAAAUCAGUCGAAGAUACCAGCUGGCUGCAACUGUUUAUUAAAAACACAGCACUGUGCAAACACGAAAGUGGACGUAUACGGUGUGACGCCUGCCCGGUGCCGGAAGGUUAAUUGAUGGGGUCAGCGCAAGCGAAGCUCUUGAUCGAAGCCCCGGUAAACGGCGGCCGUAACUAUAACGGUCCUAAGGUAGCGAAAUUCCUUGUCGGGUAAGUUCCGACCUGCACGAAUGGCGUAAUGAUGGCCAGGCUGUCUCCACCCGAGACUCAGUGAAAUUGAACUCGCUGUGAAGAUGCAGUGUACCCGCGGCAAGACGGAAAGACCCCGUGAACCUUUACUAUAGCUUGACACUGAACAUUGAGCCUUGAUGUGUAGGAUAGGUGGGAGGCUUUGAAGUGUGGACGCCAGUCUGCAUGGAGCCGACCUUGAAAUACCACCCUUUAAUGUUUGAUGUUCUAACGUUGACCCGUGAUCCGGGUUGCGGACAGUGUCUGGUGGGUAGUUUGACUGGGGCGGUCUCCUCCUAAAGAGUAACGGAGGAGCACGAAGGUUGGCUAAUCCUGGUCGGACAUCAGGAGGUUAGUGCAAUGGCAUAAGCCAGCUUGACUGCGAGCGUGACGGCGCGAGCAGGUGCGAAAGCAGGUCAUAGUGAUCCGGUGGUUCUGAAUGGAAGGGCCAUCGCUCAACGGAUAAAAGGUACUCCGGGGAUAACAGGCUGAUACCGCCCAAGAGUUCAUAUCGACGGCGGUGUUUGGCACCUCGAUGUCGGCUCAUCACAUCCUGGGGCUGAAGUAGGUCCCAAGGGUAUGGCUGUUCGCCAUUUAAAGUGGUACGCGAGCUGGGUUUAGAACGUCGUGAGACAGUUCGGUCCCUAUCUGCCGUGGGCGCUGGAGAACUGAGGGGGGCUGCUCCUAGUACGAGAGGACCGGAGUGGACGCAUCACUGGUGUUCGGGUUGUCAUGCCAAUGGCACUGCCCGGUAGCUAAAUGCGGAAGAGAUAAGUGCUGAAAGCAUCUAAGCACGAAACUUGCCCCGAGAUGAGUUCUCCCUGACUCCUUGAGAGUCCUGAAGGAACGUUGAAGACGACGACGUUGAUAGGCCGGGUGUGUAAGCGCAGCGAUGCGUUGAGCUAACCGGUACUAAUGAACCGUGAGGCUUAACCUUACAACGCCGAAGCUGUU